rnacentral:rRNA from 1 species
CAGCAGCCGCGGUAAUACGAAGGGUGCAAGCGUUACUCGGAAUUACUGGGCGUAAAGCGUGCGUAGGUGGUUGUUUAAGUCUGCUGUGAAAGCCCUGGGCUCAACCUGGGAAUUGCAGUGGAUACUGGGCAACUAGAGUAAGGUAGAGGAUAGUGGAAUUUCCGGUGUAGCAGUGAAAUGCGUAGAGAUCGGAAGGAACAUCUGUGGCGAAGGCGACUAUCUGGGCCAUUACUGACACUGAGGCACGAAAGCUAGGGGAGCAAACAGGAUUAGAUACCCCUGUAGUCCCUGUCUCUUAUAC